UACGUAGGGUGCAAGCGUUAAUCGGGAUUACUGGGCGUAAAGCGUGCGCAGGCGGUUGUGCAAGACCGAUGUGAAAUCCCCGGGCUUAACCUGGGAAUGGCAUUGGUGACUGCACGGCUAGAGUGUGUCAGAGGGGGGUAGAAUUCCACGUGUAGCAGUGAAAUGCGUAGAGAUGUGGAGGAAUACCGAUGGCGAAGGCAGCCCCCUGGGAUAACACUGACGCUCAUGCACGAAAGCGUGGGGAGCAAACAGG
rnacentral:rRNA from 1 species